rnacentral:rRNA from 1 species
UCGCUCUUCAACGAGGAAUCCCUAGUAAGCGUAAGUCAUCAGCUUGCGUUGAUUACGUCCCUGCCCUUUGUACACACCGCCCGUCGCUACUACCGAUUGAAUGGCUUAGUGAGGUCUUCGGAUCGUUGGAGGGUGGAUAGCAAUAUUCGCCUUUCGAUGAGAAGUUGAUCAAACUUGGUCAUUUAGAGGAAGUAAAAGUCGUAACAAGGUUUCCGUAGGUGAACCUGCGGAAGGAUCAUUAUAAAAUUUUUCUUGCAUAUUUUUUUAAAAUGUGUAAAAAAAAAUCUUGUAUUCAAAACCCACACUCUUUAAAACCCAUAAUAAAAAAAUUUUUAUAUGUUUGUAUACAUGAAAUUUUUUUAUUUAAAAAUAAUAUAAUAAAAAGACAACUUUCAACAACGGAUCUCUUGGCUCUCGCAUCGAUGAAGAACGCAGCGAAUUGCGAUAAGUAAUGUGAAUUGCAGAAUUACGUGAAUCAUCGAAUUUUUGAACGCAUAUUGCGCUCUCUGGUAUUCCGGGGAGCAUGCCUGUUUGAGGGUCAGUAAAAAUAAAAAAUCAUUAUCAUGAUUUCCUUUCAUAUGGAAGGGGGGAUCGUGGAAUUGGGCACUUCAAGCUUUUUUUAUAUAUAAAAGCUUGAUUGUCUUAAAUUAUUUUAUAAUUGAUGCGGCUUGCGCAAAUUGAACUGAAGAGCAAUUAUUUUUAUAUUCUCGAUCGGUGAUAUUAAGCAAUGCCGAUUUUAUGGUUUUUUUGCGGUCUGCUUUCUCAGUAAGGUGGGUCCAAAAGGAUCGUAAGACACCAUUUCAUUUUAAUAAUGACCUCAAAUCAGGUAGGACUACCCGCUGAACUUAAGCAUAUCAAUAAGCGGAGGAAAAGAAACUAACAAGGAUUCCCCUAGUAACGGCGAGUGAAGAGGGAAGAGCUCAAAUUUUAAAUCUACCUUGUUUCAAGGUCGAGUUGUAAUUUGAAGAUGCGUUUUCUCGGGCCCGCACCGGUAGAAGUUCUCUUGGAACAGGGCAUCAUAGAGGGUGAUAAUCCCGUCUGUGACCGGUCGCGAGUUCGUAUACGAUACGCACUCUAAGAGUCGAGUUGUUUGGGAUUGCAGCUCAAAACGGGUGGUAAACAUCACCUAAGGCUAAAUAUUGGCGAGAGACCGAUAGCGAACAAGUACCGUGAGGGAAAGAUGAAAAGAACUUUGAAAAGAGAGUUAAACAGUACGUGAAAUUGUUGAAAGGGAAACGCUUGAAGUCAGUCGUGCUGGCAUGAAAUCAACUGUUGCGCUAGUAAGUUGUCUGCGGGUGAGCUAAAAACCAUCGCGUUGACAUCUUUGCGCGCGCAGCGGUGCACUUUUGUGUCAGCUGGUUAGCAUCAAUUUCGACCGUCAUAAAAAGGCUGGGGGGAUGUGGCUCCUUCGGGAGUGUUAUAACCCUUAGCGGAAUGUGGUGGACGAGAUUGAGGUUUGCAACGGGUGUUGCUCUACCUGGCCUCUCGCUGGCGCCCUGGAGGCGACAGCUCGCUGACGUCUUCGGGAGCCGCUGACGAAAAGGUUAGAGUGGAGUUGCCCGUUAAGGAUGCUAACGUAAUGGCUUUAAACGACCCGUCUUGAAACACGGACCAAGGAGUCUAACAUAUAUGCGAGUGUUA